rnacentral:rRNA from 1 species
CGAGUCUUAACUGGGCGAAUGAGUUGCAGGGUAUAGACCCGAAACCCGGUGAUCUAGCCAUGGGCAGGUUGAAGGUUGGGUAACACUAACUGGAGGACCGAACCGACUAAUGUUGAAAAAUUAGCGGAUGACUUGUGGCUGGGGGUGAAAGGCCAAUCAAACCGGGAGAUAGCUGGUUCUCCCCGAAAGCUAUUUAGGUAGCGCCUCGUGAACUCAUCUUCGGGGGUAGAGCACUGUUUCGACUAGGGGGUCAUCCCGACUUACCAACUCGAUGCAAACUACGAAUACCGAAGAAUGUUAUCACGGGAGACACACGGCGGGUGCUAACGUUCGUCGUGAAGAGGGAAACAACCCAGACCGCCAGCUAAGGUCCCAAAGUCAUAGUUAAGUGGGAAACGAAGUGGGAAGGCUCAGACAGCCAGGAUGUUGGCUUAGAAGCAGCCAUCAUUUAAAGAAAGCGUAAUAGCUCACUGGUCGAGUCGGCCUGCGCGGAAGAUGUAACGGGGCUAAACUAUGCACCGAAGCUGCGGCAGCGAUAUGUAAAUAUUGUUGGGUAGGGGAGCGUUCUGUAAGCCUGUGAAGGUGUACUGUGAGGUAUGCUGGAGGUAUCAGAAGUGCGAAUGCUGACAUAAGUAACGAUAAUGCGGGUGAAAAACCCGCACGCCGGAAGACCAAGGGUUCCUGUCCAACGUUAAUCGGGGCAGGGUGAGUCGACCCCUAAGGCGAG